GCGAAUGCGACCGUGGCAGCCCCGUGCGGGUUCAGGGAGACGUGGUUUCAGAUGCCAGUCGGACGUAUCGCCACCCAAGGGUGAGUGAACGGCGGCGGGCAUCUGUGCUGCGUUCAUCCGCAGUCCCGCGUUGGGGCUCCCAGCGUCGGUGGCGUCUACCGUAGUGAACCUCGAGGCAGGUAGCUGUUGCCUCUGUGCACAUACAGAACUUAUAGCCGAGGUGAACACGAGUGGAAGUGACCGAGGAGAGCGCGACACUUUGCGCAGCAGUGCGGGCCUUCUCUUCGGAGAAGGCCGGGUCGCUUCUGGCGGAGUGGUGCGGCGAGUGAGAGACUGCUCGACAGUGUCCCGCUAAGCCGAUGCUGCCCCGCCGGGAGGUCGGCAACGCCAGGUACUGCAGUCGCUGGGCCCAAGGGCGGUCGCAUCCGA
rnacentral:rRNA from 1 species